AGAGUUUGAUCCUGGCUCAGAUUGAACGCUGGCGGAAUGCUUUACACAUGCAAGUCGAACGGCAGCACGGGGGCAACCCUGGUGGCGAGUGGCGAACGGGUGAGUAAUACAUCGGAACGUGCCCAGUCGUGGGGGAUAACGUAGCGAAAGCUACGCUAAUACCGCAUACGAUCUACGGAUGAAAGCGGGGGAUCGCAAGACCUCGCGCGAUUGGAGCGGCCGAUGGCAGAUUAGGUAGUUGGUGGGGUAAAGGCUCACCAAGCCUGCGAUCUGUAGCUGGUCUGAGAGGACGACCAGCCACACAAGGACUGAGACACGGCCCAGACUCCUACGGGAGGCAGCAGUGGGGAAUUUUGGACAAUGGGCGCAAGCCUGAUCCAGCCAUUCCGCGUGCAGGAUGAAGGCCUUCGGGUUGUAAGCUACUUUUGUACGGAACGAAAAGGCUCCCUCUAAUACAGGGGGCUCAUGACGUACCGUAAGAAUAG
rnacentral:rRNA from 1 species